GCCGAUAAAGCGUCAAAAGCUCCGAUAAGGAAGCCGACGACGACGACGUUGAGGAAGAAGGAGAAGAGGAAUUGCAUGUGUCUUCGAAACGAAACGGCGCUAGUAAUAUUAUGAAGUCCAAGGAGCAUGAUGAACACCCAGAAUCAGAUCCGUUAAGUGCUCCUCGAAGUCUUCCAAAUGAGCCAUUAGCAACUGAAAGGGAGGAUUUACGCACAAACUAUGAGGGUUCCAAGUAAUCCAAUAUCUGGCAAAAGGCCUGCAAAGGGAAAGGCAA